GGAAGGGUGCCCUUCGGGGAAUUCCGAGACAGGUGCUGCAUGGCUGUCGUCAGCUCGUGCCGUGAGGUGUGGGUUAAGUCCCGCAACGAGCGCAACCCUAUUGCCAGUUGCUACCAGGUAAUGCUGGGCACUCUGGUGAGACUGCCCGGUUAACGGGGAGGAAGGUGGGGACGACGUCAAGUCAUCAUGGCCCUUACGCCUAGGGCUACACACGUACUACAAUGGCGCAUACAAAGGGCAGCGAUACCGCGAGGUGGAGCCAAUCCCAAAAAGUGCGUCCCAGUCCGGAUUGCAGUCUGCAACUCGACUGCAUGAAGUUGGAAUCGCUAGUAAUUCGAGAUCAGCAUGCUCGGGUGAAUGCGUUCCCGGGCCUU
rnacentral:rRNA from 1 species